UACAGAGGGGGCAAGCGUUAUUCGGAAUUAUUGGGCGUAAAGGGCGCGUAGGCGGCCUGACAAGUGGAUGGUGAAAUCCCUCGGCUUAACCGAGGAACUGCCCUCCAAACUGCUUGGCUUGAGUCCGGGAGAGGUGAGUGGAAUUCCCAGUGUAGCGGUGAAAUGCGUAGAUAUUGGGAGGAACACCAGUGGCGAAGGCGGCUCACUGGACCGGAACUGACGCUGAGGCGCGAAAGCGUGGGGAGCGAACAGG
rnacentral:rRNA from 1 species